rnacentral:rRNA from 2 species
GAAGUCAGACCGUAAGGACUGGUGGAGCGCUUAGAAGUGAGAAUGCCGGUAUGAGUAGCGAAAGACAAGUGAGAAUCUUGUCCACCGAAUGCCUAAGGUUUCCUGAGGAAGGCUCGUCCGCUCAGGGUUAGUCGGGACCUAAGCCGAGGCUGAAAAGCGUAGGCGAUGGCCAACAGGUUGAUAUUCCUGUACCACCUCCCCGCCGUUUGAGUAAUGGGGGGACGCAGUAGGAUAGGGUAAGCGCGCUGCUGGAUAUGCGCGUUCAAGCAGUUAGGCUGAUGAGUAGGCAAAUCCGCUCAUCAUAAAGGCUGAGCUGUGAUGACGAGGGAAUUAUAGUACCGAAGUUCCUGAUUCCACACUGCCAAGAAAAGCCUCUAGCGAGGCGGGAGGUGCCCGUACCGCAAACCGACACAGGUAGGCGAGGAGAGAAUCCUAAGGUGAUCGAGAGAACUCUCGUUAAGGAACUCGGCAAAAUGACCCCGUAACUUCGGGAGAAGGGGUGCUCUGGUAGGGUGUAUAGCCCGAGAGAGCCGCAGUGAAUAGGCCCAGGCGACUGUUUAGCAAAAACACAGGUCUCUGCGAAGCCGCAAGGCGAAGUAUAGGGGCUGACGCCUGCCCGGUGCUGGAAGGUUAAGAGGAGGGGUUAUCCUUUGGGAGAAGCUCUGAAUCGAAGCCCCAGUAAACGGCGGCCGUAACUAUAACGGUCCUAAGGUAGCGAAAUUCCUUGUCGGGUAAGUUCCGACCCGCACGAAAGGCGUAACGAUCUGGGCACUGUCUCAACGAGAGACUCGGUGAAAUUAUAGUACCUGUGAAGAUGCAGGUUACCCGCGACAGGACGGAAAGACCCCGUGGAGCUUUACUGUAGCCUGAUAUUGAAUUUUGGUACAGCUUGUACAGGAUAGGUAGGAGCCUGAGAAGCCGGAGCGCUAGCUUCGGUGGAGGCGUCGGUGGGAUACUACCCUGGCUGUAUUGAAAUUCUAACCCGCGGCCCUGAUCGGGCCGGGAGACAGUGUCAGGUGGGCAGUUUGACUGGGGCGGUCGCCUCCUAAAAUGUAACGGAGGCGCCCAAAGGUUCCCUCAGAAUGGUUGGAAAUCAUUCGUAGAGUGUAAAGGCACAAGGGAGCUUGACUGCGAGACCUACAAGUCGAGCAGGGACGAAAGUCGGGCUUAGUGAUCCGGUGGUUCCGCAUGGAAGGGCCAUCGCUCAACGGAUAAAAGCUACCCCGGGGAUAACAGGCUUAUCUCCCCCAAGAGUCCACAUCGACGGGGAGGUUUGGCACCUCGAUGUCGGCUCAUCGCAUCCUGGGGCUGUAGUCGGUCCCAAGGGUUGGGCUGUUCGCCCAUUAAAGCGGUACGCGAGCUGGGUUCAGAACGUCGUGAGACAGUUCGGUCCCUAUCCGUCGUGGGCGUAGGAAAUUUGAGAGGAGCUGUCCUUAGUACGAGAGGACCGGGAUGGACACACCGCUGGUGUACCAGUUGUCUUGCCAAAGGCAUCGCUGGGUAGCUAUGUGUGGACGGGAUAAGUGCUGAAAGCAUCUAAGCAUGAAGCCCCCCUCAAGAUGAGAUUUCCCAUAGCGCAAGCUAGUAAGAUCCCUGAAAGAUGAUCAGGUUGAUAGGUCAGAGGUGGAAGCGUGGCGACAUGUGUAGCUGACUGAUACUAAUCGAUCGAGGACUUAACCAAA